AAGUCGUAACAAGGUUUCCGUAGGUGAACCUGCGGAAGGAUCAUUAGUGAACGCCCUCACGGGCUUAUAACUAUUCCAAACCUCUGUGAACCGUGCCCUUCGGGGCUAUUUUACAAACAUGGUGUAAUGAACGUCAUAUAUCAUAACAAAACAAAACUUUCAACAACGGAUCUCUUGGCUCUCGCAUCGAUGAAGAACGCAGCGAAAUGCGAUAAGUAAUGUGAAUUGCAGAAUUCAGUGAAUCAUCGAAUCUUUGAACGCACCUUGCGCCCUCUGGUAUUCCGGAGGGCAUGCCUGUUUGAGUGUCAUGUAGACUCAAUCCCUCGGGUUUCCGAGGAGAUUGGACUUGGGUGUUGCCGCUCUGCCGGCUCGCCUUAAAAGACUUAGCGGGAUAGCACCGUAGUCGGCGUAAUAAGUUUCGUCGGUGAAGGUUGUGAUGACUGCUUACAAUCGCCCUUGGGCAAUUUUUGACUCUGACCUCAAAUCAGGUAGGACUACCCGCUGAACUUAA
rnacentral:rRNA from 1 species